UACGUAGGGUGCGAGCGUUGUCCGGAAUUACUGGGCGUAAAGAGCUCGUAGGUGGUUUGUCGCGUUGUUCGUGGAAUUCCCUGGCUUAACUGGGGGCGUGCGGGCGAUACGGGCAGACUGGAGUACUGCAGGGGAGACUGGAAUUCCUGGUGUAGCGGUGGAAUGCGCAGAUAUCAGGAGGAACACCGGUGGCGAAGGCAGGUCACUGGGCCGCAACUGACGCUGAGGAGCGAAAGCAUGGGGAGCGAACAGG
rnacentral:rRNA from 1 species